rfam:Rattus norvegicus chromosome 2, whole genome shotgun sequence.
GGAGAGAGAGCUCAGUGGUUAAGAGCACUGGCUGCUCUUCCAGAGGUCCUGAGUUCAAUUCCCAGCAUCUACA